rnacentral:rRNA from 1 species
UUGCCAGCCGCCGCGGUUAUACGAGAAGCCCAAGUUGUCAGCCUUCGGCGUAAAGAGUGGUUAGAAUAGCCCGUUUAAACUGAGGUCGAACACCUUCAAAGCAGUCAUACGCUCUCGAAGGCAUGAAGCACACUUACGAAAGUAACCUCACCCGAUUUGAACCCACGAAAGCUAAGACACAAACUGGGAUUAGAUACCCCACUAUGCCUAGCCCUAAACAACGACAUUAAUUACACUCAAACUCCGCCCGGGUACUACGAGCAUUAGCUUAAAACCCAAAGAACUUGGCGGG